GAAUACCCAGCUUGAUAAGGCUCCUAUGACAUCUAUCACCCCAUUGAUCGCCAGGGUUGAUUCAGCUGAUCUGGCUGGAUAGGCAGGUGUCCCCUUCCUCUCUCAUUGCUCCAUGUGUGUCCCUCCUAAAGCUGCAUGCUAGGUCAAAGCUGCAUGCUAGGUCAAAGAGGACGACCAGCCCUGAUAGAGAAGGACUGGUCUUCAGUCAAGGGUAUACAAGUAGCUGUGCUCCAUGGCUAGAACCUCCAAACAAGCUCUCAAGUUCCAGAAGGAAGUGAAAGAAAAAGGAAACCAAGAAUGUGGAUAGAGU
ensembl:misc_RNA 7SK 7SK RNA